rnacentral:rRNA from 1 species
GACAGAGGCCCCAAGCGUUAGGCGGAAUCACUGGGCGUAAAGGGCGCGUAGGCGGCCUACUAAGUCAGACGUGAAAUCCCCCGGCUUAACCUGGGAACUGCGUCUGAUACUGGAAGGCUUGAGGAUGGGAGAGGGAUGUAGAAUUCCAGGUGUAGCGGUGAAAUGCGUAGAUAUCUGGAGGAAUACCGGUGGCGAAGGCGGCAUCCUGGACCAUUACUGACGCUGAGGCGCGAAAGCUAGGGGAGCAAACGGG